AGAGUUUGAUCCUGGCUCAGAUUGAACGCUGGCGGUAUGCUUAACACAUGCAAGUCGAACGGAAACGAAACUAGCUUGCUAGUAGGCGUCGAGUGGCGGACGGGUGAGUAACGCGUAGGAAUCUGCCUGAUAGUGGGGGAUAGCCCGAAGAAAUUCGGAUUAAUACCGCAUAAUCUAUUCGUAGUAAAGUGGGGGACUUUCGAGCCUCACGCUAUCAGAUGAGCCUGCGUAAGAUUAGCUUGUUGGUAGGGUAAAAGCCUACCAAGGCAACGAUCUUUAGCUGGUCUGAGAGGAUGAUCAGCCACAUCGGGACUGAGACACGGCCCGAACUCCUACGGGAGGCAGCAGUGGGGAAUAUUGGACAAUGGGGGCAACCCUGAUCCAGCAAUACCGCGUGUGUGAAGAAGGCCUGAGGGUUGUAAAGCACUUUCAAUUGUGAAGAAAAGUCAACGGUCAAUAACCGUUGACCUUGACGUUAACUUUAGAAGAAGCACCGGCUAACUCCGUGCCAGCAGCCGCGGUAAUACGGAGGGUGCAAGCGUUAAUCGGAAUUACUGGGCGUAAAGCGUGCGUAGGCGGUUUAUUAAGUCAGAUGUGAAAGCCCCGGGCUUAACCUGGGAACUGCAUUUGAAACUGGUCAACUAGAGUAUGGUAGAGGAAAGUGGAAUUUCUGGUGUAGCGGUGAAAUGCGUAGAUAUCAGAAGGAACAUCAAUGGCGAAGGCAGCUUUCUGGACCAAUACUGACGCUGAGGUACGAAAGCGUGGGUAGCAAACGGGAUUAGAUACCCUGGUAGUCCACGCCGUAAACGAUGAUAACUAGCCGUUGGGGGGAUUUACCCCUUAGUGGCGAAGCUAACGCGUUAAGUUAUCCGCCUGGGGAGUACGGCCGCAAGGCUAAAACUCAAAGGAAUUGACGGGGACCCGCACAAGCGGUGGAGCAUGUGGUUUAAUUCGAUGCAACGCGAAGAACCUUACCUGGUCUUGACAUCCUGCGAACUUUCUAGAAAUAGAUUGGUGCCUUCGGGAACGCAGUGACAGGUGCUGCAUGGCUGUCGUCAGCUCGUGUCGUGAGAUGUUGGGUUAAGUCCCGUAACGAGCGCAACCCCUAUCCUUAUUUGCCAGCACAUUAUGGUGGGAACUAUAAGGAGACUGCCGGUGAUAAACCGGAGGAAGGCGGGGACGACGUCAAGUCAUCAUGGCCCUUACGACCAGGGCUACACACGUGCUACAAUGGGAAGGACAAAGAGCCGCGAAGCCGCGAGGUGUAGCUAAUCUCAUAAAUCUUUUCGUAGUCCGGAUUGGAGUCUGCAACUCGACUCCAUGAAGUCGGAAUCGCUAGUAAUCGUAGAUCAGAAUGCUACGGUGAAUACGUUCCCGGGUCUUGUACACACCGCCCGUCAUACCAUGGGAGUGGGUUGCACCAGAAGUGGCUAGUCUAACUUUGUGAGGACGGUCACCACGGUGUGAUUCAUGACUGGGGUAAAGUCGUAACAAGGUAACC
rnacentral:rRNA from 2 species